GACCUAGUAGCGGAGGGCCCGCGCCUGCUUCACAUAGGUCCUCUCAAUAUGUUACAGGACAGGAGUCCCUGGUUCGACUCCAGGCUAGGUCA